rnacentral:rRNA from 1 species
UACGGAGGGUGCGAGCGUUAAUCGGAAUUACUGGGCGUAAAGNGCACGCAGGCGGUUUGUUAAGCUAGAUGUGAAAGNCCCGGGCUCAACCUGGGAUGGUCAUUUAGAANUGGCAGACUAGAGUCUUGGANAGGGGAGUGGAAUUCCAGGUGUAGCGGUGAAAUGCGUAGAUAUCUGGAGGAACAUCAGUGGCGAAGGCGACUCCCUGGCCAAANACUGACGCUCAUGUGCGAAAGUGUGGGNAGCGAACAG